rnacentral:rRNA from 1 species
GAUGAACGCUGGCGGCGUGCCUAAUACAUGCAAGUCGAGCGAACGGACGAGAAGCUUGCUUCUCUGAUGUUAGCGGCGGACGGGUGAGUAACACGUGGAUAACCUACCUAUAAGACUGGGAUAACUUCGGGAAACCGGAGCUAAUACCGGAUAAUAUUUUGAACCGCAUGGUUCAAAAGUGAAAGACGGUCUUGCUGUCACUUAUAGAUGGAUCCGCGCUGCAUUAGCUAGUUGGUAAGGUAACGGCUUACCAAGGCAACGAUGCAGAGCCGACCUGAGAGGGUGAUCGGCCACACUGGAACUGAGACACGGUCCAGACUCCUACGGGAGGCAGCAGUAGGGAAUCUUCCGCAAUGGGCGAAAGCCUGACGGAGCAACGCCGCGUGAGUGAUGAAGGUCUUCGGAUCGUAAAACUCUGUUAUUAGGGAAGAACAUAUGUGUAAGUAACUGUGCACAUCUUGAGGGUACCUAAUCAGAAAGCCACGGCUAACUACGUG